rnacentral:rRNA from 1 species
UGGUAGUCCACGCCGUAAACGAUGUCGACUUGGAGGUUGUGCCCUUGAGGCGUGGCUUCCGGAGCUAACGCGUUAAGUCGACCGCCUGGGGAGUACGGCCGCAAGGUUAAAACUCAAAUGAAUUGACGGGGGCCCGCACAAGCGGUGGAGCAUGUGGUUUAAUUCGAUGCAACGCGAAGAACCUUACCUGGUCUUGACAUCCACGGAAGUUUUCAGAGAUGAGAAUGUGCCUUCGGGAACCGUGAGACAGGUGCUGCAUGGCUGUCGUCAGCUCGUGUUGUGAAAUGUUGGGUUAAGUCCCGCAACGAGCGCAACCCUUAUCCUUUGUUGCCAGCGGUCCGGCCGGGAACUCAAAGGAGACUGCCAGUGAUAAACUGGAGGAAGGUGGGGAUGACGUCAAGUCAUCAUGGCCCUUACGACCAGGGCUACACACGUGCUACAAUGGCGCAUACAAAGAGAAGCGACCUCGCGAGAGCAAGCGGACCUCAUAAAGUGCGUCGUAGUCCGGAUUGGAGUCUGCAACUCGACUCCAUGAAGUCGGAAUCGCUAGUAAUCGUGGAUCAGAAUGCCACGGUGAAUACGUUCCCGGGCCUUGUACACACCGCCCGUCACACCAUGGGAGUGGGUUGCAAAAGAAGUAGGUAGCUUAACCUUCGGGAGGGCGCUUACCACUUUGUGAUUCAUGACUGGGGUGAAGUCGUAACAAGGUAACCGUAGGGGAACCUGCGGUUGGAUCACCUCCUUACCUUAAAGAAGC